rnacentral:antisense_RNA from 1 species
GUGACUAGUGCAGGCUUCCCGGGGAACCAUUUGAGCUUUGAAGGUGGGGAAGAGGAAUGUCAGAGAGUGGGCAAAAUAUAACAGCAAAGGUCCAAAUUCACCCUCUGAGGGCCCGGGGCACGGGGGCAGCCUGCUCUCCUCCUGGGGCCCUGUUCCCUGUGGGGACUGGAAGAGAGGCUUUGAGUCUAGGGCCUGGGGCAGCCAGGACUGACGGGGGUGCAGUCCUAGAAGGGUCGGCAGUCACGGUGGCCUACCAUGGCAUCUCCGUAUCCUUGCUGCAUGCUGCACCCACUGCAGCUGCCAGAGCACAGAGGCAGAGACGUGGGAGCCGAUGAAGGUCGCACGCCAGCCUCCCACCUGUGAGACAAAGGGCCCUGUCACUGGAAGCCACGUCCAGCCUGGCCCCGCAGGAGCCAGGGCUGUGCGCCUAACGGAGGACUGAUGGGAAAGGGAAGGCUGGCAGCAGUGAGGCCAAUGUCUUCACAGGUUUUUUGACCUUGGCAAUGUUCCCGUCAGACUGCAGAAGACUUGACUAUUCCUGUUCAGGUAGAUGAUGA